UCAUCAUUUUUUUGUCGAGCCUGCAACUUUUGUUGCAGAAAGCUCGACAUAGGGAUAGUGAUCCGGCGGCGGCGGCUACGGCGGCUACGGCGGCGGCGGCGUUAGCUAACUUCUUAAAAGCUUUAUAUUUUAGAAGGUGGAAGACCUGGAUGCUUCAUACUUUGUAUAUAGAUGCCUCAUGUUACGAAGUUUCCGUCAGUCACAUGUCAAAUGUCCUUGACCUCAUUUUCAUGGUUCAGUGACCACUUGAAAAAAAAGUUAAGAUUUUUUGUAAUGUUGAAUUCUCUCUUAUUAUAAGUAAUAGGAUAAUUAUAUUUGGUAUGUGCGUACCUUGCAAGGUCCUCAUGCCUGUCAGACAGUUUUCACUUGACCUCGACCUCAUUUCAUGGAUCAGUGAACAAGGUUAAGUUUUGGUGGUCAAGUCCAUAUCUCAGAUACUAUAAGCAAUAGGGCUAGUAUAUUCGGUGUAUGGAAGGACUGUAAGGUGUACAUGUCCAACUGGCAGAUGUCAUCUGACCUUGACCUCAUUUUCAUGGUUCAGUGGUUAUAGUUAAGUUUUUGUGUUUUGGUCUGUUUUUCUCAUACUUAAUGCAAUACAUCUAUUAUAUUUGUUGUAUGGAAUGAUUGUAAAGUGUACAUGUCUAGCGGGCAGAUGUCAUCUGACCUUGACCUCAUUUUCAUGGUUCAAUGGUCAAAGUUAAGUUUUUGAGUUUUGGUCUUUUUAUCUAAUACGAUAUGCUAUAGGUCAACUAUAUUUGGUGUAUGGAAAUAUUUUAUGAUCUAUAUGUCAGUCGUGCAGGUUUUAUUUGACCUCGACCUCAUUUUCACGGUUCAUUGCUCAGUGUUAAGUUUUUGUGUUUUGGUCUAUUUUUCUUAAACUAUUAGUAAUAGGUCAACUAUAUUUGUUGUAUGGAAGCAUUGUUAGCUGUACAUGUCUGCUUGGCAUGGUUCAUCUGACCUUGACCUCAUUUUCAUAGUUCAUUGGUCUUUGUUUAGUUAUCUUGGUUAAUGUUAAGUUUAUGUGACAGUUUUUAAUAAAGCUUUAUACUUAGGACUAUCAACAUAAUGUCAAUGAUAAGUAAAGAAGGCGAGACAUUUCAGUGUGUGCACUCUUGUCUUAAAAUAAAACAGGUUGUACAUUCUACAUAAAAUAUGCUAGUCAACCGUAAAU
rnacentral:lncRNA from 1 species